rnacentral:lncRNA from 1 species
UUCCAUACAUAAUGGCCUAUUCUCUGUACACACCAGACAGGCGUUUGAGGGCUGCAAGGGCUGCAUCCACUCGUUUGGACCACUGCAGCUAUAAGGCUAUUGUUUACAAGAACCAAAACCCAAAUGCGGAUUAUGAGGGGUUGACAGGAUAUAUCCAGUGGCAAAAACCUUGGAAAGUGACUAUGCUUCUAACCCCACAUGGGUGGGUACCACUCCUCCCUCAGCCCCGGCCACGCCCCACCCCCGCACCACCUUUAGAGGACCACAUCCGUCGCGACCAGCUACACCUCUCCCUGUGUUAGCCCCGUCCCAGCCAUGCCGACAUCCAAGCUGUUAAUAGUAAUAGUGACGAGGAGUGUUAGACCUGUUGUUAGUCAGAAAGAAAUCCACAAGCCAUUAGUUUCUGCUGGAAGGAACAGACCAGGAGGGCAGGCGUUAGUGGAGGUGAAGGACAGGUUAAUUACGAGCCGCUCGGAGGGAGUCAGGCCGGGAGCCUGGGACUCCCAGGCGGGCGGGGUCGGCUGUUAGGGGCAGCCCCCGGGGCAGCCAGGGCGAGGCAGGGGUUAGCUGGGGGAGAGCAAGAGUUAGUGCGAGGGCGCCAGGGAGCGAGUAGCUCAGAGACCAAGGUGCCUACUGGAGGUGAGGCAGCACAUCACCCCCAGGUGUGGCCCCGGCUCAGCGGCUGGCGGGCUCUGGGGGAGACGGCUGGAGCAGGGGUGUGGGUGGGACAGACAGGGAGCCGGGCUGAGGUCCUGGCUGCGAUUCCUGCGGGCCCACGGGGGUUCACUUCCUGCGUCCCAUCGGCUCCUCCCGCAACCCCAGACCCAGGGCGGAUCAUCUGUCCCCACUGCUUGCCCAAGCUUCCUGGUAUGUGACAGUCCUUGUCAGUGACUUCCGGUGUGAAAAAAUGGCCCACAUCCGCUUCAGGCGUGGGGGGGAAGGGCCCCUCUAGCCAACUUCCGGUGGUCGGAAAGGCCCCUCUCACUGAUCUCUCGGCCACGCCUUCUCACGCCCUGGGGUGGGGCCAGAAACUCCCCUCUCACUGACGUCGAGAAGGGGCCAUGUGAGGACACGGUAGGAAGGUGCCACCUGCAGCCAAGGAGAGAGGCCUCAGCGGAAACCACCCCUGGCAUCUUGAUCAUGGACCUCCAGCCUCCAGAACUGCAAGAAAAUGCCUUUCUGCUUUUGAAGCCCCCCGGUCUGGGGUAUUCUGUGAUGGCAGCCAAGCCGACUCAUGCAGGCCCCCUCCCCUGCCAGGAAAAUGAUGAGGGGCUUUGAAGAAAGGCUGAGGCUGCUCCAGGACAAGCACUGGGACCGGCCCCCUGGAGGGAUUGGCCUAAGGGGAGACCCGGAAGGGGCCGGAAGUGAGUCUGCAGCCGUGUGAUGGGGAGGCUGCAUGUGGCUGGGCCCGCCUGCCUGCCUUUGCUGCCCAAGGACACAAUUGGAGAUUGGUGCAACAAGGAGCAGGGGGCUGACAUCAGGCUGGGGGGACCCCUCAAGCCUUGGGGCCAGGGGGGUUCUAGCCCAUUCUCUUUGGACGGUGGGAACAAAGCCCAGUGUCUGUCUCCUUCUGGCGACCUCCCCUGGCCUAGGUCCCCUCAUCUCUAGGAAACUCUCCCCCUUCAAGGCGGCACACCCUCUCCCCUCCAGCUGCCCCUCCCAGAGCUCGGCGACACGGAGGAAGGCCCCCGCUCCCCCGACCCUGCCUGCCUCCUCCCUGUGACCAUCAGGAAGAGGAGAAGCACAGAGAAGCCCCAUCCAAAAGGCACCCCCCAAAAUAAGAAUCGCUCACAUGACAAACAGCACAUGAGACUCCAGCCCACAGCACCCCCGAGCUGCGACGCCCCCCCCACCCCCAACCCCUGGCAGCUCCUCCGGAUUCCCAGCCUGCUUUCCUGCGUCCGUCCUGGAGGGUCCUUUGAGACCCGGCCUUGGGGACGGGGUGGUCAGUGGGGUUCGGGCCGAGCUCUGUCUGGUCGUGAGCAGGGAUGCCGGGAGGAAUGAAGUCCACACGGGGUCAGGAAGGGUCUCCGGGCCCGGACAGGCAGGCCCAGCAGGUGGGUCAUGGUGGGUGCAGAGGGGACGGUGGGUGGCCAGCCUCCGUCACACCCCUCGAGCCGUCCCCCACAGCCAGGCCCUGUGCUUGGCUGAGCUCCAGCCAGGAGGGGGCCUCUAUCCACAGGAGGCUUCAUCCCGGGAGCUGGAAAGGAUAAGGUCUUCGGGGAAUUGUUGAGGGCUCCAGAAAAGCACCGAAGGUUCCUCCGUGUGUCCUCGUGGCUGGAGUCCAGAGUCGCCCGGGCUCCAAAGAGAAGACCAGGCCAAGAGUCUUGGAGACACAGCUGGGGCAGAGUGGCCUGGAGGAGACACAGCGAGCUCGGAGGAGGGCACAGCCUCCGUGCCCAGCUCUCCAUACCCCCAGUCUAACCCCACCUCCGAGGGGGGCACCUUCAGAGACCCCAGUCUCCCUCCUGUGCCCCCAACACCUAGACAGGGUGGGGUUGACGGCCUUGGACACUAAAACCUUUUAGAGGAAACUCAGGAAUAGAGAGGAAGCAAUGGAAGCCACGGAUACCCCAUCUCAGCAGGGCUUAUUCAGGGGAUGGAAAAGCUAUAAAGGGAGCCCAGAGCCGACCCCAAGAGCAUCGUGGGCGGAGAGGGAUGGGGGUCAGGCGUAUGCACAGGGCCUUCCGAGUCCUCGGGAGGCCAGGAUCCCUUUAGAACAUUCCCGCUGAGGGAACCUCUGCACCUCCCUCCCCCAACACACAUGCACACACAUGCACACCUCCCAGGACGGGGAGCUCAUUCCCUCGCCGAGACAGCGCUAAAGCACGUUCUUACCUGAAGAUCAGAGAGGGCGGAACCACAUCUCUGGUGUUCACCUCUGGAUCCUCAGCAUCGAGCUGGGAGAAGGUGCUUGGGCUGUGUUUCUGCGGAAUAAAGGAAUGUGGUGAACUCUCUGCCAG